GCACACCGAGGCCGACCCGGCCACCCCGGUGCAACCCGAUCUGUCUGGCGCAUACCCAAGGCCCCGACGCACUGAACCUCUUUCCCUCGACACCUAUCGCUGCCGCACGCGUGAGCUAGGGCAGAACGCAUCUCGUCCGGAGCUCCGCUGUUCGCCGUCGUUCGCCGGUUGUUCCUGUCGCCCAGAGGGAGAGGAACAAGCCAGCCGACUUCACCUGAGUUCGCCGGAGUUCACGUCUUCGCUACAGCCGCUCGAGGACACCCCGCCGCCGUUGAGCACCACCAGUGCCUCCACCACUCACCUCCGCACCCGUCCGUCACCUCGCCUUCGCCGGAAACCCGCCGGAGAGCCGCCGCCGCUGACACCCGACCACCGUCGCCGUUUUCCCCUAUUCUGAUUGUCCGGAGUGCGACGCGAGCUAUUGUCAGGAGUGUGACUUUCUGAACCAGAACCAAG